GACGAACGCUGGCGGCGUGCUUAACACAUGCAAGUCGAACGGAGUGGCGAACGGGUGAGUAACACGUGGGUGAUCUGCCUUGCACUUCGGGAUAAGCUUGGGAAACUGGGUCUAAUACCGGAUAGUGCAAGAUGAGCUCGCGGCCUAUCGGCUUGUUGGUGGGGUAAUGGCCUACCAAGGCGUCGACGGGUAGCCGGCCUGAGAGGGUGUACGGCAACAAUGGGACUGAGAUACGGCACAGACUCCUACGGGAGGCAGCAGUGGGGAAUAUUGCACAAGGGGCGGAGAACUGAAGCAGCAAAGCCGCGUGGGGGAUGUAGGCCUUCGGGUUGUAAACUCCUUUCGACAGGGACGCGGUACCUGUAUAAGAAACACGGGCUAACGACGUGCCAGGAGCCGCGGUAAUUC
rnacentral:rRNA from 1 species